rnacentral:rRNA from 1 species
AGAGUUUGAUCCUGGCUCAGGAUGAACGCUAGCGGCAGGCCUAACACAUGCAAGUCGAGGGGCAGCAGACUACUUCGGUGGUGCUGGCGACCGGCGAACGGGCGAGUAACGCGUUUGUAACCUACCCCUAACUGUGGCAUAGCUCCCGGAAACGGGAAUUAAUUCCACAUAAUAUUUAAACAUGGCAUCAUGUUUUCAUUAAAGCUCCGGCGGUUAGGGAUGGGCAUGCGUGACAUUAGCUUGUUGGUAAGGUAACGGCUUACCAAGGCUACGAUGUCUCGGGGGUCUGAGAGGAUGAUCCCCCACACUGGUACUGAGACACGGACCAGACUCCUACGGGAGGCAGCAGUGAGGAAUAUUGGGCAAUGGACGCAAGUCUGACCCAGCCAUGCCGCGUGCAGGAUGAAUGCCCUAUGGGUUGUAAACUGCUUUUAUACAGGAAGAAACCCUCUGACGUGUCAGAGGUUGACGGUACUGUACGAAUAAGCAUCGGCUAACUCCGUGCCAGCAGCCGCGGUAAUACGGAGGAUGCAAGCGUUAUCCGGAUUUAUUGGGUUUAAAGGGUGCGUAGGCGGGGCAAUUAGUCAGUGGUGAAAUCCUGCGGCUUAACCGUAGAACUGCCAUUGAUACUGUUGCCCUUGAGUAUAGUUGAGGUGGGCGGAAUGUGUAAUGUAGCGGUGAAAUGCAUAGAGAUUACACAGAACACCAAUUGCGAAGGCAGCUCACUAAGCUAUAACUGACGCUGAGGCACGAAAGCGUGGGGAGCGAACAGGAUUUGAUACCCUGGUAGUCCACGCUGUAAACGAUGAUCACUCGUUGUUGGCAAUAUAUCGUCAGCGACUAAGCGAAAGCAUUAAGUGAUCCACCUGGGGAGUACGAUCGCAAGAUUGAAACUCAAAGGAAUUGACGGGGGCCCGCACAAGCGGAGGAACAUGUGGUUUAAUUCGAUGAUACGCGAGGAACCUUACCUGGGCUUAAAUGCAGAACGACGUACCGGGAAACUGGUAUUCCCUUCGGGGCGGACUGCAAGGUGCUGCAUGGCUGUCGUCAGCUCGUGCCGUGAGGUGUCGGGUUAAGUCCCAUAACGAGCGCAACCCCUAUCGUUAGUUGCCAGCGGAUAAUGCCGGGGACUCUAACGAAACUGCCAGUGUAAACUGUGAGGAAGGUGGGGAUGACGUCAAGUCAGCACGGCCCUUAUGUCCAGGGCUACACACGUGUUACAACGGCCGGAACAGAGGGCAGCUACCUGGUGACAGGAUGCAAAUCUCAAAAUCCGGUCUCAGUUCGGAUCGAAGUCUGCAACUCGACUUCGUGAAGGUGGAUUCGCUAGUAAUCGCGCAUCAGCAACGGCGCGGUGAAUAUGUUCCCGGGCCUUGUACACACCGCCCGUCAAGCCAUGGAAGCUGGGGGUACCUGAAGUCUGC